rnacentral:lncRNA from 1 species
GUUUAUUUGGAAAAAGUAUGUAUGAAAUGAGUUGAGAGUUAAUAUGAUGAAAAAUACACAUGUAAACAAAAUACAUUUCUGGUUGUAAUAGCUCAAUCAUCAUCACAGAAAUACAGAAAUCAAAACUUCAACAAAUAAUUUCAUGUAGUAACUUACAAGGAAUUGUUACCUUCACAUACUUGUGUAUAGAUAUAUAUAUCUUUAAAAAAUCAACAGAAUUAAUAAUAAAACAAUUCAUUUUAUUUACAAAUACUUUGAAUGUACAACAUAUGAGAAGGAAUUGCAAUAUUAGAAUAUUUCACUCGAAACCCUUAUUAGUUUUACAAUUAAAUAUUAACUGUUUUACAUCAUGAUGCAUACACUAAAGCAUGAACAACUUGAAAGUCAAGAUUUUGUGAUUUUUUAAAGAAUUAAAUCACUUUUUAUUGAUUCAAACUGAGGUUACUAAUGGGCAUGAGUGAUUUUGUAUGAAUCUAAUUUCCAAUUUGAUAAAUAGGACAGGAAGAUUUGUCUCCCCUGCAUGCAAUGCAUCUGAUAAAAUUCCUAUUGACUUCCCAUAAGAAAUUACUGUUUAACAAAUCAGAAGAUCAAAGUCUUGAAUAAACUGCAAUAUUUUACUCCAAAAUUCAAAUCCAGUAAGGGGUGCAUAAUAUUUCAAUGCUAAAAGCAAGAAAUAAGAAAAAUGUCAUCAUUUUCACUCUAUUUUUCCUUCAUACUUGCUGCCAUGUUUUUUCUUGGCAAGGUAGAAGAUACCUUUAUUUCUUGCAUCAAUUUUGUAAUUUUUAUAAUCUAUAUUAUCAUGUUAUUUUUAAAGAAAAGAAAGAAUUUCUGGAUAAAUAACAAAUUGAAAUACUUCAGUACAUAUUUCUUUUAGAAUUUCAUGGCAUUUAAAUCAUGAAUGAAAUUCAGAUAUGAAAUCAGUAAUUCAUUUAGAUGUGGUGUUUAUGACAGGAGUGUUGCAUUUCUUAUCGUAAUUUAAAUAUCAAGAAAUAAACAGAAUAAAUAAAACAAUGUUUUACAUAAUGAUAGCACUAUUUUACAUUUAAAGUAUUCAUAAACUUAAAUGUGUUUGCUUUUCAAUUUCUACUUUAUGACAAACACAACUUCGGCACUUGUUUCCAGUGCUUUUUUUGGCACUUUUUAACACUCCUGAAGUGUACAAGAAAUGUUUAUUAACAAAUUUUGGGGAUAUUUCUAAUAAAGGAAAGUUGACAACCUUAUAUGACCUGAAAGUUAUAGAUCUUCAUGAAGAGAUGAAAAAGUUUUUGUUCUAAAUUCCAAUGGCCAAAGAGGGUGUGCAGAUUAAACAUAAAUGCAGAUUGUACACAACUAAAUAUGGUAAUAUUGAGCUUAUUAAACAUAGAAAAUGCAACUGUUAAGCCUAACCAUUGUUUAAACCUUGGUUUCUUUUAUAAUUAAAAAGCUUAAUCAUUUUUUCCCCUUCCUUCUUUAUGGCAAAUCAUAUUACUAAACCUUCCAAGAACAAGCACUUAUGACUGCAUCUUAACAUGACAACAUUCAAACUUAGAAACUGAAAGAAAAAACAAAACACUAAAAACAUGGGGAAAAAAAUAUAUCCACAGGUAUGCUUUUUCAACAUUCAAAUUUUUCCACAGUUAAUUGAUGGAUUUUUCAUUCGUUCAUACGCAAAUCGCAAAUGCAUAAAUAUAACAGAAAAUAACAUCAGAUAAAACUUAUUAUAAAAAAAAAAAAUGUUCACUGAAAAAUAAAAUAACAAUAUAAAAACAAAGAAAAUGUUGUAAGAUUUCAAUGAGACAACUAUCAAAAAGGUUCACUCAGUAUUCAAAAAGAAAAAAUAUUUUUAAAUAUUAAUCUAAUAUCUAACACUUUCAGAUCAUUUGUUUAUAUUAUAUAUCAUAUUGCAUGUUACCUUGAAAAUAUCACGUGACAAAACUUUUCUGAGUAAAACUAAAA